UCUGGAGAAAGAGCGAUGUGUUUUUAUUCCUUUGUGAAAUAACAGUCACAGUUUGAUCAUGUGACAACCCCCUUUGUCCUUCAAAUAUCGGAUUUCACUCUCUCAAGAAGGCAGGACACCGACGAGAAUAAGAGAGGAACGCCUGCAGAUAAUUGUCCUGUAGAAAAACUCUUUGCCUUGGGUAAUAAGUGGUUUCUGGAACAAGACCCACGACUGUGGAGCGAUCAGCUUCUUAUCGACGUCCUCAGGCGAGUUGCUGCCUGCGGAGUGCACAACAACUUCAUUACUGCUAUUGUUAUCAUCAUCAUCAUCAUCAUCAACAGAGUUUAUGCAGGGAAAGUAUAUUCUGGAUGGUUGUGCAUGGUAUACAAGUGUAGUUGAAAUUCUUGGAACGCUAUCUGGGAGCUAAAUGUAUUUAUUUUAAUUUCAGGAAAGAUUGUACAACUACGUUAUAUAAAGCUAAUUAAAAAUUUUGGAAGCAUGUCUAAAAGAAUGUCUUUUAGAAUGCUUAAGGUAUUUGAAAAUAUGCUUUUAAAAGACUAUCUUCAGGUGCAGAUGAAGAUUGUGCAGUAGUUAACGGGUGAGGCGAGAGUGAAUGACUGCUGGGUUGUCGCACCAUGCACUCUCAUGGAUGGCUAUUAAGGAGCCAGGAUGUCAAGUGAUUAGCUACAGCCAGAAUGGCAACCGAAGUUUCCAAGACAGAAUUUCCUGGAAGGCAUGGCUUCUAUACAAGGCUGGAAGAACAACGAGAGAGAUUAUUAAUGUCUAGAGGCUGCAGAAAUUCACCAGACAUAUUUUGUUAUGUCUGCGGGCAAUUCACACCUUCAGAUUCCCGGAACAACAUUACUUACUCCUUUAUUGAAGCGCUGCUACUUUGCUAAUUUUGACCAUGGCAAACCAUUUGCACUACACAAAGGUUGCAAGAGUUGCAUCAGCAAGUUCCAAAUGCGCUCCAUUGAAAAACUGACGUAUCCUUUGGAGUACCGAUGGUACCAAUGGUAUGGCGGGAGGAGAUGAACCAUCAUAAUGACUACUACUUUUGUAUGACUAAAGUAGCUGGAUUCAACAAGAAGUUCUAAAGAUCGCAUAAUAUACCCAAAUAUUCCUUCAGCAAUAAGGCCUGUUCCUCACUCUGAAGAUAUUCCUGCACCUGUGCCACCUGAGACAUGGCAAAUUUCAUCAGUCUGAUACCAUUGAUUCUAAGGAGAUGGACGUAGACUAUGAACCACCAACAAAUGACGAUCCCAAACCCUUCAACCAAGUUGAGCUCAAUGACUUGGUGAGAGACCUUAACUUUCCAAAAGAAAGUGUACAGUUACUUGGCUCCUGGAGCAACAUUUGCUUGGUACCGUCAUCGUGAAGCGGAAUUCACUCAUUUCUUUGACAAAAGAGGAAUCUUUAGUUUUCUGUUCAAAAUUUCUGGCCUUAUUGAACACAUGGGGAUGUCAUACAAAGCAGAUGUGCUUUUCCAUGAUUGCUUGCCUAAUUUUAAUAAAUUGACAAUUGAUUAAAAAUUCACAUUUUUUAUCAUUAAUUUGU